rnacentral:lncRNA from 1 species
UUUUUUUUGCCACUCCAUUGGAAUCCCCACUUCAGGGAUUAUUCUUGUCAGCUCGCCUCUAAAUGCCCCAUUGUCCAUUGUCAUUGCAGCUUUUGCUUUAAGACAAAAUAAGAGAUCCUUUGGAUUUGGCUUGCCAAGAAGCAUAUUACUGUUUCAAAUGCUUCUCAGCUUUGCACUUACUGUAUCUGGGCCCACUAUUCCUAGUUCUUCAGUCCCCAACUCCUACCCUGCAAACUCCCAGAGUAAUGCUCACUUCCAUCACAGGCCAUUGGCUAUGAGGGAUUUGAGCAAUUCCUGAAAAUCUAUUUGGAAGUGGAUAAUGUUCCCCAUCACCUAAGCCUGGCACUGUUUCAUUCCUUCCACACUGAUCACUGCUUAAAAGAGAAUGUAAGGAAAGGUAUGUUUCAUGGUAGGACUGGGCUGGGCCUGUGGAAGAAAAGUAAAAUUAGUGCGUUUGAGGAUGAGGUUGAAUUGAGUCACAUGUUGAGUGGGUCAGGAGAGAGUGGUGGAGGGUAGUAAGGCUGGACUAGGAGUUAGCUGGAGGAAAGUUCAAGGGGGAAAGUUGUAAUAAAUAAAGGAGAAGAGAACCAAAGUGGAGGGGCCCUGACCUCAGAUCUGCUGUACUUUUUUGUAGCAAAUGUGGUAUGUCUCAGUGAUGUCUCCUGUUACUUUUCCCUUCUGGAGGGUGGCCGGCCAGAAGAUAAGCUAGAAUGUGAGUUGCUAUUCUGGACUGGGAGAGGGGAGGAAAGGUGAGGGAAAAGGGAGAUAUUCAUUCCCUAGCCUCCCUUCCCUCAUUCUUUCAGGAUUCCUAAAGGCUGACAGGGCCAGACAAAGGUGGGGCCAGAGAUUGGGCCCAUUUCCUCUGUUCUUCCAGACUACUUAUACCUAAUGCCAUCCCUCAUAGUCACUUGAAUUCCCACAUUUUGUACAUUCUUAUGUAGGCAGUCUGGGAUGUUCUCGGGAUAUGGGAAUGUGUGUUAUCUCCCCCAUCUGAUUCACUGAGAGUGGCAUCUAUGCCUGCUUUCCUUCCCUUUUUGUCUUCUUUUUCAGUUCCACCCUAAGUCCUAGGCUCUUCACCCAAAAGUUUUUUUCCCUAUCUCUGUUUCCCCUGUAUUCUGGUGUAAUUAUUUAGUUAUCUCUCACAAACUGACCCCAGCCUCCCUAAAACACCCCACAGUCNAAAAA